rnacentral:rRNA from 1 species
UGGGGAAUUUUGGCAAUGGGCGAAAGCCUGAUCCAGCAAUGCCGCGUGUGUGAAGAAGGCCUUCGGGUUGUAAAGCACUUUUGUCCGGAAAGAAAUCCUUGGCUCUAAUACAGUCGGGGGAUGACGGUACCGGAAGAAUAAGCACCGGCUAACUACGUGCCAGCAGCCGCGGUAAUACGUAGGGUGCAAGCGUUAAUCGGAAUUACUGGGCGUAAAAGCGUGCGCAGGCGGUUUGCUAAGACCGAUGUGAAAUCCCCGGGCUCAACCUGGGAACUGCAUUGGUGACUGGCAGGCUAGAGUAUGGCAGAGGGGGGUAGAAUUCCACGUGUAGCAGUGAAAAUGCGUAGAGAUGUGGAGGAAUACCGAUGGCGAAGGCAGCCCCCUGGGCCAAUACUGACGCUCAUGCACGAAAAGCGUGGGGGAGCAAAACAGGAUUAGAUACCCCUGGUAGUCCACGCCCUAAAACGAUGUCAACUAGUUGUUGGGGAUUCAUUU